UACGUAGGGUGCGAGCGUUAAUCGGAAUUACUGGGCGUAAAGCGUGCGCAGGCGGUUUUGUAAGCCGGAUGUUAAAUCCCCGGGCUUAACCUGGGAAUGGCAUUCGGGACUGCAAGGCUGGAGUGCGGCAGAGGAGACUGGAAUUCCUGGUGUAGCAGUGAAAUGCGUAGAUAUCAGGAGGAACACCGAUGGCGAAGGCAGGUCUCUGGGCUGACACUGACGCUCAUGCACGAAAGCGUGGGGAGCAAACAGG
rnacentral:rRNA from 1 species